GCUCGGUUGGGACGUCUGGUGGAGCAGAAUGGCUCUCUAUCUUAGCAAUCUAAGAGAAGCUUGGAUGUUUUUGAGGUUGCUGACGAGUCCACAGUUGUGGGGUGCCUUAGGCAUUGAUGCUGCAGGUAGAAGUCAUCUGCUAUAGAAGCUCAGAUGGAAACUUUCUGUUGGAGAAGUCUGGUAGGAGUUCGAUUGCUAGAGAAGUCCGUCUGAAAUUUGCCUGAUGUGGAAGCUCGUCUGAAGAUUGUCCGUCAGAGAGGUCUGAUUUCAUGAGGAAUCUGGCAGAGGGUCGACCGAUAGUGGAGUUCGGAUGGUGCUGUGGAGGUUCAUCUGCUGGAGGAGUCUUGAGGACACUGUGGAAGGUAGAACGUUGGAGGAGUCCGGGAUUCAAUUCUGUUGUAGAAGUUUGGACGAAAUCCGGCUCUUGUAGGAGUCUGAAAGGAGACUGCUUAUUGUAGAAGCUCGGACGAAGAUCGGUUAUUGUGGAAGCCCGAAUGGAGACUUCUUAUUGUAGAAGUCCCACUGCUGGAGAAGCUCGAUCAUUGAUGAAGUUCGAAAGAAGUUCAGCGUAGAGAUCCGGCUGGUGGAGCCCGUCCGUUGUAGAAGUUUGUCUGGGAUCCAUCCACUGUAAAAGUUCGGACAGAGUCCGG
rnacentral:lncRNA from 1 species